UACAGAGGUCUCAAGCGUUGUUCGGAUUCAUUGGGCGUAAAGGGUGUGUAGGUGGCGCCGUAAGUCGGGGUGUGAAAUCUCGGGGCUUAACUCCGAAACUGCAUUCGAUACUGCGGUGCUUGAGGACUGGAGAGGAGACUGGAAUUCAUGGUGUAGCAGUGAAAUGCGUAGAGAUCAUGAGGAAGACCAGUGGCGAAGGCGGGUCUCUGGACAGUUCCUGACACUGAGACACGAAGGCCAGGGGAGCAAACGGGG
rnacentral:rRNA from 1 species